AAGAAGGCAAACAUUGGGUUUCCGUGUCCAACUUUAACUGUCCGUCUUAUAUAAAUUUUUUUUAUAAUUCGUAUUUUCAUUGUUGCUAGAUGAUAAAACAUGAUUAAUAUUUUAUGCGUGACUUGUCUUUUUAAUUCUUUUCAUAAUUUUUUUAAAUAAGACGGACGGUUAAAUAUUGGACACGGAAACUAGGGUUUGUCUUUUU
rnacentral:pre_miRNA from 1 species